rnacentral:rRNA from 1 species
UACGGAGGGUGCAAGCGUUGCUCGGAAUUAUUGGGCGUAAAGGGUAGGUAGGUGGUCUUAUUUGUCUGGGGUGAAAGCCUUGAGCUUAACUCAAGAAGUGCCCCAGAAACGGUGAGACUAGAGUCCUGAGAGGGUCGUGGAAUUCCCGGUGUAGCGGUGAAAUGCGUAGAGAUCGGGAGGAACACCAGAGGCGAAGGCGGCGACCUGGACAGGUACUGACACUCAACUACGAAAGCGUGGGGAGCAAACAGG